UACGUAGGGUGCGAGCGUUGUCCGGAAUUAUUGGGCGUAAAGGGCUCGUAGGCGGUUUGUCGCGUCGGGAGUGAAAACACUGGGCUUAACUCAGUGCUUGCUUCCGAUACGGGCAGACUAGAGGUAUUCAGGGGAGAACGGAAUUCCUGGUGUAGCGGUGAAAUGCGCAGAUAUCAGGAGGAACACCGGUAGCGAAGGCGGUUCUCUGGGAAUGUCCUGACGCUGAGGAGCGAAAGCGUGGGGAGCAAACAGG
rnacentral:rRNA from 1 species